AUGUGGUGUCUAUUUCCAGACCUACAGGGUGUUACAAUUCUGCAAACUCAAAACGAGUCAGUGGAAUGCACCUUGGACUCUGCAUAGGACUGAGAUGCUGAGAACCUGUGUUUACACGAUGUAGCCUGUGUUGCAGGUGCAGAGAGCUUGGUCUGUGAUGGAGCCAUGAUGAGAGCCUGCUGGAGCUAGAUGUUAGCAAAGCUGGAAUUUUGAAACCUGGACUCCUGAUUCCUACCUCUGAGUCAACUCAUGGUUUGAAGGAAGAAUUUACUGAUCUUUCUUCGAGGAAAACUGCAAGACGCAGACAACCUGCCCAAGUCACGCUUCAGGUGUGAUAAUCUUUGUCUGUACAAGUUGUCUGUAAGGUUUGGCCUUAGCAUGGGCAAGGCUUGGGGCCAAAACCCAAUAUGUAUUACCAAGUCUACUUGGGUUAUGGUGCUAUUAAUUCCAUUUUUCUGAUGCAUAACCUAUCUUUCCACUAUACAGUUGCAGCUAUCGAGGGCUUCCCUUACAUGUUCACUUUUUUUGUGACUUUCAGGGAGUUGUGGCAGGGGAGGGAUAGAGGGGAGAAACAGUCCUGCGUCCUCCUUUCUACAGCUCCAGCCUCUGCAGAUGUCAUGCCUCUAGGAUCCUCCGCCGUUUUGUCUCAAGCUGUUCUAAAAUGCAGCUAAUCUCAGGCUUGUCAUACUGUCCACAGUCUCCAGCUUUUCUAUCCAUGUGAAACCCAGAUUCCUUGGGGGACAUUUAUUUUCUGAUAAACCCUGACUGACACAAUGAAAUGAAUCUUUCAAGCAACUCUAUCUGACAUGAUCAAUUUACUUACGGAUGGAUGUUCUUUAAAUGGAAGUCCCCAUGGCUGAAACUACAUGGCCUGGAUCCCCAUUAAAGAUCUCAAUGACAAAGAUUUUUACCUCAUUCAAGUACGUGGCACAGUUAUGGAGAUUUCAGUGUCUUCCUUUGCCCUCUCUUCUCACAGCCAGAAAAACCUGUGCAUUCAACAGCGCUCAGAGAGUGUGUGUAUCCCUGUAACUGGUGACCAAGAAAACAGACCUUUUCAGCACUAAACAGUUUAGAAAUGCAGGUGAUACUGGGUCUAAAUAUAACUACCCCUCCCUGUUUCCAAAACAAUGAAUUUUGAAUUUUCACGUAUUUCUAUAGAGAAGAACCACAGAGUCUGUGUUCCAUUUUGCAGGUUGUUGCCAGAAUCUUUUCUAAUGUUGACUGCAGGAUUCAUUUGUUCACAUUUGGUGCUGUGUAAGACUUAACUGUAGGAAAUACCACAGGGUGAGUUUUUAAGUCCUCUACUUAGUAGAUCUAUCACUUAGAAACAAUUUGAAGCUGUUAAAUGAUAUUGUUAAAUUGAACACGUAGCCUUGUGUGUCUUAAAAUGAGUUCACAGACUUACUUUGUUGGAUUGUUACAUCACUGGCCAUGUGCAUGUUUUUAUCUAGAGAAAAGUGUGAGAUAGGCAUCAUAUUGGCGACUAUUCUAUAUCCACAGAUACCAUGAGAGGACUUUAAGUUGAUUAUGGGCAUCAUACAGUGCAGUGAAGUCAUUUAUUUGUGUCAAACUGCAUAUUUAUUUUUACACAUGAGCACAAGGAGAGAUUGAUAGAUCAUAGUAUAUGCUACAGUACUUUCAAUGAAAACUUUCAGAUACUUGUAUCAAGCACAAACAACUUGAACGGUUUCAAGCAACGUAAAGAACAAAAACAUAAAAAGUUAAACAUGAAGAAUGAAAAUGUAGAGCAUGAGAACCCUUCACAUUUUCCAUAAAGCUUGAUGUGUCACAAACUAAUUGUAAUUAAUAUCCAUACACCAGGUGUCUAUAGCCUCCUGCAGUCACAGUUGUUCAUAUUCUGGCUUCUUAUUCAGAGUUUGAAAAACUGUGUAUAUCAUGAAAUAUGCAUUAAUUUUCAUACUCGAUGUUUACACAGUUGAUCAGAAUAUAAUGUCUUUACUAGACUUUUAUUCCCCCAAAUUGACUCCUAUCUAUUCUUUCUCUUCUGGUUGUGGAUUCAUACCAUAAAGUUAAACAACCUUGAAAUUAUUUCCUUAUAAUGUGAUUAACUUUUUAUUUCAUUCAUUUCUGCUUUUGUUUUUUAUUAUUUUGGGUAUUCUCUGUUCAGUUACUUUGGUGGCUGUUUCUCUCCGCCCUGCGUCCCUCCCAGCCCUGGGAUCAGGUUCAGGGCUGACACUCUCAGGGCAAGCACUCAUCCUGCUGAGCUUUAUUCCAAUGGUCGGCUAUUGGUUAUUUCUCUAAUUUACUUAGAUGACAACCGAAUAAAAGUUACCAAGCAUUUCUCCUUUCUAGUACAUGAUUUCUACGAUCUAUACAUUCUUCAUUUUCUGAAGCUUGCACACAUUAUAAUAUAUUGUAGUUACACAACAUAUUCUUAUGAUUUAUUUGGUCUGUGGGUGAGUUAGAAUUAUAUCUAUCUGUAGUUAAACUCCAUUUGUGGAUUUCUGAUUAUUUUCCUAAUUAGUUCUGUUAAGGCUUUACUGUCUCAUAUCAGUAAGGUGUGUGUGUGUGUGUGUGUGUGUGUGUGUGUGUGUGUGUACUAGAAACAGUAGAUACAUUAUUUUUCUGCGUCAAAGACACCAUUUUUUGUACAUUUCAUUUUUUUUAUCUUUGUAGGCAGCUGUGUAACAGUCCAGUGCCUACUUUCUUUCUAUUCUAGGGCUUUUCAUUGCUUGUGUUUUCAUGAGUACAACUUUAGGCUGCUGCAUCUUCACCUUCAGGGCUGCUUCCUAUAAGCACCUAACAAUAAUUCUCAGCUUAAGUCAUCUCCUUCUAUGCUCUCUUACACCCUGUUCAGAUGUUCACAAGGGCUUGCCCGCUUUUCUCCUCAGAUGAAUCCAUGCCUUUAUAUUACUUGGGUCCUCUACUUGGUGUUCAAGCUUGAUCAUGUGACCUCGUGCAUGAAUAUCCCCUUUCCACUGCUCUAUAUGACUCCUCCAUCUACCGCCUUCCUUAACUUACAGCAGCUUUUGAUCCACUCACUACCUUUAUUCCUUCUCAUCCUUUCUAUAAUCUCUGAACCUCAGAGGAGCUUGGCUCUGUUCCGUGCAGGCUUGGAAGUAGGUCAGGUACAACCUCUGUGGGAUGUCAGAUUCCUUUCUUUAACGUUGCAGUGUAGCACUGUCAAGGUUACAAUUUACAAAGUGCAAGGUGGUUUGAGUGUAGAUUCUGAAAAGGAAUGAGUAUAUUUAGAGAAUUAAUAGUCACUGCUUUAUUAAGGGUUUCAUAUAUUAUCUUUACAAAUAAUCAUAGUUAUACACAGAGAAAGCAAUUAUUAAGAAACUAUGGCAUUGUAAGAAUAAGUCUUCCAAUAGUAUGCUACAGAAGGUUAAUGGCUACAUUAUAGUAAAGAAGGGUUUGAUACAAGCACAUUGUUCUAGUCACCGUCCAGCAGCCUUUAUGCAAAAGGUGGCUUGGUAAGUUGGAGGAUCAAAGCUUUUGCCAUAAGUAGGUUAUUAGCCUUUCUACAGGCAAAUAGAGUCAACAAUGUUAAGCAGCUAUGCACAAGGAAGAUGUCCACUUAGGAAUUGUGCUUACUUUAUGAUUACCUGCUUAUAAUUAGAUGUUGUUGUCUUGUUUAAUCAGAUUUAUGAAAUUAUGCCCUCUAGGGUCACAUCAUCUAAACCUAAUGCUGGCACUGGAUCGUUGGAUGUCACCAUUGCUGGUUCUUAGGAUGAGUCAGCCAUUCUUGUGUCUUGUGACAGAUCAACAAACCUGUCAUACUAAGGUGCUUGGAUACUUGGAGAAAAUGAUUUUCAAAGACUCAUGUCCCAAAUCAUUAGACACCCUUCCUCUUUGAGUGGUUUUAGAAAUCAUCCUUCUUGGGGAAUGUGAAGUGAGUCUUCCCAGUCUAAGAACCAGAACCUCUGAGCCCACAGAGUCAUGGAAGCCCUCGCUCUCUCUUUGUAGAUUAGACAGGUGCUUGCUCUUAGCAUCUCAAAACACCAUGGGCUUCAGGCCAAGAUUCUAUAACAG
rnacentral:sRNA from 1 species